rnacentral:rRNA from 1 species
UACGGGGGGGGCAAGCGUUGUUCGGAAUUACUGGGCGUAAAGGGCUCGUAGGCGGCCAACUAAGUCAGACGUGAAAUCCCUCGGCUUAACCGGGGAACUGCGUCUGAUACUGGAUGGCUUGAGUUUGGGAGAGGGAUGCGGAAUUCCAGGUGUAGCGGUGAAAUGCGUAGAUAUCCGGAGGAACACCAGCGGCGAAGGCGGCAUCCUGGACUGGUCCUGACACUCAGGAGCGAAAGCGUGGGGAGCGAUCCGG